rnacentral:RNase_P_RNA from 1 species
CGAGUCGGCAGGGCGACCGCGAGGAGUGAUCCUCGAGGAAAGUCCGGACUCCACAGGGCAGGGUGGUUGCUAACGGCAACCCGGGGCGACCCGAGGGAUCAGUGCCACAGAAAACAGACCGCCGCUCCGUGCGAGCGGUAAGGGUGAAACGGUGGUGUAAGAGACCACCAGCACCCCGGGUGACCGGGGUGGCUAGGUAAACCCCACCCGGAGCAAGGCCAAGAGGGAGCGUGUCGCUCCUGCGCAGGCGUUCGAGGGUUGCCCGCCCGAGGCCUGCGGGUAGGCCGCUGGAGCCUGCCGGCAACGGCAGGCCUAGAUGGAUGGUCGCCACCGUGACCGUUGGUCACGGGACAGAAUCCGGCUUACAUGCCGGCUCGCCCC